rnacentral:rRNA from 1 species
AGUAAUGUCUGGGAAACUGCCUGAUGGAGGGGGGUAACUGCUGGAAGCGGUAGCUAAUACCGCAUAACGUCGCAAGACCAAAGAGGGGGACCUUCGGGCCUCUUGCCAUCGGAUGUGCCCAGAUGGGAUUAGCUAGUAGGUGGGGUAACGGCUCACCUAGGCGACGAUCCCUAGCUGGUCUGAGAGGAUGGCCAGCCACACUGGAACUGAGACACGGUCCAG